UCGGCGCAUUCUUGGCUCCCCGACGGCCAGAGCUUCCUCUGAUGCCCGAGGGCCGACGCCUCCUUGGCUUUCCGGCGGCCGGUUACUUCUUCAUGGCGAGCGGCAGCUACACUGGCUUCCGCAGCAAGCGGUAGCGGCGCCAGGUCAGCGAUGAUGAGUGGCGUGCGGUUGACGGCCGUGACAGAGUGGACGACAUGACCGUGUGCUCACCAGUGACGCAGGUAGCAGGAAGAGCCAUGGUGGCGGCGGCGCUUCGACGCUUUGACCGAGGGAGAUGUGGGAACAUAGCUGCCGUCGGAGGAGCACAAGUAUUUUCUCGACCACAUCUCUCUCGUAUGCACUCUUUCUCAGCCGCUGGCACCAAGAGGCAAGAGCUCAAAGGCAGAAGCCCGUGAACUUUGAUCUCAAGUUCUUGGAUAUUCUUGAACUGAGCCACGGUAAAAUGUUCCCUUGCUCUCUAGGGAUGUUGCGAUAGUGGACUCAUAGUGCAGCAAAGGGUGUGCGUCAGUUCACGUUGGAGAGGAACAUAUGGACCAAGUUGUGAGAGUUGCACAACCUGGAAAAGAUGAGGAGGCAAAUGAACAUCAUCACCAGCUAGGAGACGGUGAGCGCCACAGCCACGGGGCAUGUACUUCAUGUCCUCUGAUCAGGAGAGCACCCUCGCUGUCAUCCAUCCACGGCUCCGCUCGCCGAUAAAAAAGAGUAUUGAAGAUAAUUUAUGCGUCAUUUGUGUUACCACAAAAUCAUUUGCAUGAGAGCCUGAUUAUCACCAAGCUAGGCUGAUAUGAGCUUUUGGUGAACUGUUGGUGUCAAGAGCGACGAGGGGGGACAGAGGGUCGCAAUGCCAGGCGUACCUCCUUGACGGUGUACUGAAGCACUCUUCUUGCGGUGUAUGCUCGCAGGUGGACAAGGAGCACACACAAAUAAAAAGGGAUGUUGCGAUAGUGGACUCAUAGUGCAGCAAAGGGUGUGCGUCAGUUCACGUUGGAGAGGAACAUAUGGACCAAGUUGUGAGAGUUGCACAACCUGGAAAAGAUGAGGAGGCAAAUGAACAUCAUCACCAGCUAGGAGACGGUGAGCGCCACAGCCACGGGGCAUGUACUUCAUGUCCUCUGAUCAGGAGAGCACCCUCGCUGUCAUCCAUCCACGGCUCCGCUCGCCGAUAAAAAAGAGCGACGAGGGGGGACAGAGGGUCGCAAUGCCAGGCGUACCUCCUUGACGGUGUACUGAAGCACUCUUCUUGCGGUGUAUGCUCGCAGGUGGACAAGGAGCACACACAAAUAAAAAGGUGUGAACCUCAUAGUGCAUAAUUCCUUUUGUGUUUCUGAAGAUACUGUGUCACUUAGUCUUAAUUGUGGAAUCUGACAUUGAUUCCUACUUACUUCCAUGGAUACUCUCAUGGAUAUCUAUUACCAUGUGUUUUUUAUAUGCUACUUUUUCCUUUGAGACAUUUUUUUGUCGAUGAAUGAAUAUUUGUUAACAAGUUAGAUGCUCUCUUAGGAUUUCCAUCCAUAUAAAUGUAUAUACACUUAUCAAUACUGCGCAUAUUAUGGUCUUCGGCUUUGGAUGGAGAUCACAGAGGAGACAAGCAGAGAAGUCACUGCUAUUCCCAUAUUGAUGUGGCUUCACAUAAUGUUAUUUGAGUCUAUUUACGAUAGUGGAUGAGAGAGGAGAAGAAAACACCUGAGAAAACCAAACAUUCUCCCUUCCAUCAGCUCAUCUUUGACCAGCAGCUUAAUAGAAAAAUCGAAGUGAGUGGCAAGGUUUUUUGGUGCGCAAAUGAAAAAUUGAUUAACUUAGCAAUAAUUUCUGUGUUUAUAAUUUCUGACCAUACAUUCUUCUUAGUUUCUGUAAUUGCAGUCGAUCCGCACUGCCUUUUCCCUUGAUUCAGACAUGUAAGGAUGGCGCUGAUUGGCUUUAGAUUUGAAUUUUCAUUGGCUGGUUUCAUUCUGAUUGGUUGCGCAUACCUACAAGUAUGCACGGUGGUAAGAAGUAAAUAUUUUCUUCUAUCUGCAACGUAAUUGACGGGUUAGACCUUAACAGUACAUAAGCAUCAUCUUUCGUAUGUGUAUAUAUACCUACUGAGCUGCGUAUAUCACAUGGUGUAUGGAAUGGGACGGAGCUUGUUUUAUUCAGAAUCUUUAUUUGUUAUUUUUGUUUCCUUACAAUAGAAAACUAGAGUUAGAUGCUUUUCCAAAGUGUCUACGCGAUCUACAUCAUAUUGUAUCCUUGCUUGAGAGUUCAGACUGCAAAUCGGAUAAGACAUUGGUUAAUAUUACAAGCCAAUUAUAUCAAUAAGACACGUGUUUAUCUAUAGUUGACUUUUUAUGUACUGCAGGAUUUUUUAAUAUGAAGUCUAGAGGUUUUAUGGUGAAUCUUUGAUAAAUAGAUUGGGAAAUUAUUACUUAUUAGGUGUACAAGUUCUUUUUAUAUAGAUUGCAGGAUUUUUCUAUAUAAAGUCUACAGGCGUUGUGGUGAAUCUUUGAUAAAUAGAUUGGCCAAUUAUUAAUUAUUAGGCAUACAAUGUUCAUUCCAUUACAUUUCCUUGAAUUGCCUCUGCAAAUAAGCUAUAUAUGUUCGAAAAAUGGUUUUCACAGUUACUUAAACAUGAGAACAUACGUAAAUCCUAUUGUAGUUCCCUCUUUUCCUUUGCAUUUGGAGAACAUAUACAUGUUGAGAUAUAUGCACUCACAGAAAGUAGAUUAAUUGGGAUGAGUCGAUGACGCAUACAUAUCUUUUGGACUAAGUUAGCUUCUAGGAUGUUGCAACCAGUUGACAAAAUUUUUAGGCACUGCUGUUAUCACCAUGUGUUGUCAACAUUUAAAUACUCAGUACAUUCUGGCCAUCUAAAAUCAUAUCUACAUUUCAAUUGACAGUACUUGAAAAUUUUAAAUCUUAAUAAGUGAUGAUAUGCAUAAGGGAUAUGGAUGAGCGAGUUCGAACAGGUGAGGUAAUCUCUAAAUUGUAUUCAUCCUUAAAAUGAAUGAGUGGACCUUCUUCUGCCCAUUUCGAAAAAAAUGGCAUGGUAGAAGCAACGAGAGAAUAGAACUCUCUACAUUCGAAUGAAUAAGACUUAUAAUUUUUUGAGAAGUGUUUCAUGCACGAAAACAAACAUCAUUACUCAUUAUGCUGCGCGUGCCAGUGUGUUCGGGGUUGUUGGCCUAUAUGCAACUAUUGAAGUACUUCAGAAUAAACUUGGUACUCAUUUUGCAAUCUUAAGAUUGCAUUGCCAUUGUUAUUUAUCUUUCAACAGCAAGAACAUCGAUCUGUAACUUAGACUGGCAUCUCUCUCAUCUAUGCAUGUAAAUGGCGUGUUCUUUUUUUCUUUCUAUUUUACUCUUGCCUACAACUUCAGACGCCAUGUGCUCUCAGGUCCUUUUCCAUGUCUGAUGUAAUUGGAUUGUGCAUCUGCUAAAUGGCCUUACUGUACUGUUUGCCAGGAAUGAUAGACAAUGAGUAGUGAAGAUAUGGUUGACAUGUUCAUUGGUUACUGCAAUCAGGGUCACAUCAAAUCUUCCUAACUAGCAAGCUAAAAGUACAGCGAUGAAGGAGCCUAUGUCAGCUAGCCGUAUUUCUGUGCAUAUAUGGAAUAUAGCGACAAAGUAGCUUCUGUUAGCUAGCCGUACUUCUGGGUAUGUAAUCUAAUAAAUGGAGUUUUAAUUAUGAAACAAUUAUUCGUAUUUUUGUGUGUUGAGGGGUGGUAACAGUCAUAUUAAUUAAAUGGAUCUCGGUUAGGUAAACAGUCAUACUAUCUAAAUUGAGUCCUACUUUCGUACUUCACCAUCUCUGUUAAAUUUUAAUCACCAGAAAUGUGUCCUCUUAUCUAAUGUAGUCUUAUAAACUCUGUAAUCAUGCCCAAAUAUGAAUUAGCACCACUAGCUAAUCCUAAUUUUAUAGUUGAAUUUGUGUUGGCACCACUAGGUCAUGUGGAUUGGAUCUGACGCAUGCAAUAGCAACAAGGGAAGCAAGGCGAAUCCAGGGUCACACACACAUGGGGCACUAGCGUGGCAGCGAGUCCGGCGACCACCGGCGCGGGAACUCUGGCUUUCAGGUGAACCAUUCCUCUCCCUGCCUUUUUUUACUUCCCUUGAUCGUAUAAUUUAUCACAUAUUUUCUUUUCUUUUUUUCAGUUCAGUCAAGUCAAGCUAUCACUGGUUUACCACAUUGCAUGGGCAACAUGCUCCUUGCUAUUGGAGUCCAUGGUGCAGGUCUCCUAUGGUGCAUAUCCGUUCAGUGACAGACUUAUUCAACUUUCUCAAGCUAUUCCCACACUUUGAUUUCAUUCAGGUCAAUGCUCUCAUAUGAAUCUCUCAUAUCAGCCAAUUCGCAACAGUUGAGAUAUUUUAAUGACCAAUUGAUCAAGAAAGAAAUAACUUCUAUCACGUUGCUAACUGAUGGAAAAUCCAGUGCUAAUAUUAGAGAGGAAAUCUUGCCGGCACUAGGGUAUGAGCAAACCAUGUAGUGCAUCUGCCACCAGAAAUGGAAUUUUGACACAGAUAGAUCAAAGGAAAUAUUCUGAAUUUUGGGCGAUCAGUAAAGGAGGUGAUCGAAGAUUUAGUUAAGUCAGAGAAUGAGAUCCCGGAGGCUAGGCCCACAAAGAGUAGGAGCUCGACUGGUCGGACCAAGAUGACACCACCGACGAAGAAUCUGAGGAACCUGAGGGUACAGCCAGUGAUGUCGUCAUCCUCUCCUCCAAGGAUGAAGACAACGCCAACGAGCGAUGGCAAGAGGCUGGAAUAAUCAGAGCACUUGCGUGGGCAUAGUGAUCUACCCUACUGCUUAAGUUCAGCUUACUGAAUGUAUGACUUAAUCUAGCGUUGCAUGCUAUUAGUGUUUAGUGCCUAAUGAGGUAUGCAAUGCAAGUUUCACUUCUAAAUGUUUUUACACCGUUGUAACUUAAAAUAGGAGCAUAUUUCACUAUUCAACUUGCUGCUUCCUUUAA